ensembl:lncRNA
UAUCUUGUAAUAUUAGAAAGGCUCGCUAAUCCAUCAGUUUCAAUGGAAAAAUGUUUGCGAUAGGGAACGCAAUUUCUUUAUUUGCUAAAUCUGGGUAGCAGGUACAUAGGUUUCCUCUACGGUUAAGAUUUUCUACAAUGACAUUUUUAAUUUAAUCAAUUAAUUAAUUAAUUUUUAUAAUUUUUUAAGGGCGGGAGGCCGGGGGGCGGAACAAUAGGGGCAGGCGUGAAGGCCGGGGCCCCGCGGGCGCGCAGAGGAGGAAGGGUGGGUGGAGGAGGAGGAGGGAGAAGGCGGAAAUAGACUCCGGGCGGGUGGAGGGCGGCGGAGGGCUAGUUGGCCGGCAGCGGGGAGAGGGCGCUGGCUGCGACUGCCAUGGCUCCGGCUGCUGCCUCUGCUUGUCUUAAAAUGAUAUCCUAAACAAUGAGUUUUUUAAAAUUCAUGAGCCAUCAUACUGAGGAAAUGCAGUAAUCUCUUGACUGAUUAAGUUGUGGCAGCAGAGGAAGAAGGUGUCUAAGGUCUCCUGACUGGAGAGCACUUCCACUAGAAAUCCUAUGCCCUGAACCCUACUUCCUCUUUGGAGAAGCACCAAGAUGCUCUUGGAAACCUUUCAAAACAACUCCAGGCUUAUUGAGCACUCUUUAAAAGUGUGAGAUACAGGGUGACCAAUCACCUCAGUUUGCUUUGGGACUCCUCGUUUUAGCACUGGAAGUCCUACAUCCUGGGAAGCCCUGGAGUCCUGGUAAACCUGGACUAUUCAUUACCCUAGCUGUACUGGGAAUUCUGUUCAAUGAAAUAAAUAAGAGAAAACUAUGAGAACGAAUAUUUCAACCACAAAAGCCCUAGAAGGAAGGUUGGAUUUCAAGACUGUUCUUCCAGGAGAGUGAAAGGUCGAUCUAAGAGUGAAGAAAUAACAAAAGUUAUUCUCAUCCUCCUUCAGUUCUUCUUCACUCUGACCUCCUCGUUCCUAAUGGGGGUUUGUGGUGUUGGCGACAUGGCAUUCAUGCAGGUGCCACUAGUGAAGCUGGGGAGUGUUGGGACAAGGUCAAGGCCGCACGAUCCAUACAUAUCAUGAUUGAGAUUGGGUCCUAGGAACUGAAGGCCCCGUGACUCUGAUCUCAUCUCUAUAUGUCCUUAAGGGAACCAUAACAAAGUACAUAUUAAAGGACAAAAAUUUGCCCUCUUUGAAGAUAUUAAAAAUAAUUUAUUGAGGCCAACUAGUAAAAAUAAGUCCAGGUCAAGAACUGCCUCGUUGGAGUAGGUGCCUAGUUACUGACAGUUAAAGAUAAAACUCAUUAGAAGAUGUAAAGCUUGAUAUAUUUUUGAAGGAAAGAAUUAUGUGACUUUAUGUGUGCAUUUCUUAUAGUUCUAGGUUGGUCUCACACACAAGUCAGUGCUAGAAAUAUUUUUUUCCAGUGAUGAUGAUAUGAUGAUAAGGCAAGUGAAAAUAACAAAGAAAAAUAGCUUCUCUUUGUUUGUUAUAAACUAACAAACAUGGCUUGUUGGAUGACAUGAAACAAAAACAUUGGCAGAGAAUUAAUCUUUCUUUCCAUUUAUGUUUGUGGAUGAGAAAACACUAGAAAUUUGAAGAGCGAAGCUGAAUUACAUGUGAUCCAAAAUACACAAUAUUUUAAUGACUGGGACUUCUUUGCAAAAGCUUAUCGCUGCAGUAAUUUAAUUUAUUGUAAAGAAGAUA